rnacentral:misc_RNA from 1 species
UCUCCGUUGGUGAACCAGCGGAGGGAUCAUUACCGAAGUUACCCUUCAAAACCCAUUGUGAACCAUACCUCUUGCCGCGUUGUCUCGGCGGGAGGCGCUGGGGCCUCGGCUCCGCGUCCCCGCCGGCAGCGCCAAACUCUAAACUGCAAGGCGUACUGCAUGUUCUGAUUUACAAAAAAAACAAGUUAAAACUUUCAACAACGGAUCUCUUGGUUCUG